UGAGCCCCAAGCCAUCAAGCCGAGGGCACGUUUACCUGGGUGUCACGCAUCGCUGUCCCUCCCGUACGCUCUCCGCUAGCGGUUGGCCCAAAUUCGAGUCCUUGGCAACCAGAGCCGCGGCGAUCGGUGGUGAAACAAAAGCCUCUCGAGCUCCCGCAGCACGAGCCUGGUCACCCCCGUGGGGACUCCGCGGCCCAGACGCUCUGCGCUAGCAGUGCUCGCAUCGCGACCCCAGGUCUAGCGGGACUACCCGCUGAGUUUAAGCAUAUCAAUAAGCGGAGGAAAAGAAACUUACCAGGAUUCCCCUAGUAACGGCGAGCGAACCGGGAAGAGCUA
rnacentral:rRNA from 1 species